UGUUCCUAAAUUAGAGGAAUGAUUUGUGGAGAUAUCAUCGGCUAAGACUCCCCCGCAGUUUGAGCGGGCGGAGGACAGACGCUCAAGCUGGAUCGAAAUGACUGGAACAACUGUCGAGAUAGGCCUUUGGUGAAGAUGUCAGCAUAUUGAAAAGCAGAUGGGACAUGUGAGACCUGAAUGUGGCCUAUUCGAACUUUCUCCCUUACAAAGUGUAUGUCGAUCUCAAUGUGUUUUGUGUGUUGAUGCUGGACAGGAUUGUUAGACAUAUACACUGCGGAAACAUUGUCACAGUAUACGACGGAGGCCUACUGAAGUGGGAGGUGUAAUUCCAGAAGUAAAUUGCGAAGCCAGGUGGUCUCUGCAACAGCAUUGGCUACUCCUCUAUAUUCUGCCUCUGCACUAGAUCGUGAGAUAGUAGGCUGCCGUUUUGAAGACCAUGAAAUCAAAUUAUCACCAAGGAAAACACAGUAGCCACUAGUUGAUCUUCUGGAGUCUGGGCAUCCACCCCAAUCUGCGUCUGAGUAUGCUACCAAGGUAUGUGUAUUUGUCUUGCCAAUUCUUAUACCGUAGUCAACUGUGCCUUGUAAAUAUCGGAUUAUUCUUUUGAGAAAGGCAUAGUGUGGAUCCCGCGGUUCAUGCAUGAAGAGGCAUAUUUGUUGAACAGCAUAUGAUAUAUCUGGGCGUGUGAAUGUGAGAUACUGUAAUGCGCCAGCAAGACUGCGGUAUAAUGUUGGAUCAUGGAAGAGAGGUCCAUCAGAAGCACUCAGUUUUGAUGAUAGAUCGACUGGGGUGGCACACGGUUUGCAAGAGGACAUUGAAGCUCUGGAGAUGAUAUCCUUUGUGUAUUGAGACUGAUCCAAAAAUAACCCACCAGAUGUCCGUGUCACUUUGAUUCCCAGGAAAUGAUGCACCCGGCCCAAAUCUGUCAUUGCAAACUCUCGUGAGAGCAUGCGGAUAAUAUUCUGCAAUAACUCAUUAGAAGAGGCAGUGAGCACUAUAUCAUCAACAUACAGAAGUAAAUAAGCAAGCUGAUUUCCCUUUGAGAAAAUGAAUAGGGAAUUGUCACACACACUGCUGCGAAACCCAUGAGACAGCAGAUGGGUUGCAAAUCUGGUGUACCAUGCCCGUGGAGCCUGUUUGAGCCCAUAAAGGGAUUUUUUCAAUCUGCACACAAAAUGAGGGUAUCUUCUAUCUGUGAAACCCGGGGGUUGAUGCAUAAAAACAGUUUCAUUUAAAUGCCCAUGUAAAAACGCGUUUUUGACAUCCAACUGGUGUAUUGGCCAAGAACGGGAAACUGCAAUGGAUAACACAGUCCGUAUAGUAGCGGGUUUCACUACGGGACUAAAAGUAUCGUCACAGUCAAUGCCCACCGUUUGAGAUUUGCCAUUUACCACCAAACGUGCUUUGUACCUUUGAAGUGACCCAUCUGAUUUAAAUUUGUGACGAAAAAGCCACAUACACCGAAUGACCGGUCGGUCAGGAGGGCGAGGCACGAGUUCCCAUGUAUCAUUUUCCUGCAAAGCACGAAACUCAGCCUGCAUAGCACUUAACCAAUGAGGGUCAGAAAAAGCUUUUGCAUAAGAGGUGGGUAUUGGUGAAAUUGAGGUGGUCAUAAGGGCAUGGCGAGCUUUGGAGCGGGUGGUCAUUGGAUGGGUAUUCUGUGCGGGUUUUGAUACAGCGGUGGUCUGAGUGUUGGGAUUUUGUGAGACUGGGUUAAGGGGCUGUUGUUUAUGGCGGCGGGUGUAUAUUAUGGGGUGAGAGAUUGGGCGUUUUUGGGUUUGGGUGGUGUUUGGUGCUGGGUGAGGUUGUACAAACUUAAAUCCUGGUGGUGGUUGUUCAUCAAGAAAUGUGUAUGUUUUGGGUGGGGUUGGAAUGGUGUAUGGGAAAGCUUGUUCAUCAAAGGUUACAUGUCGUGAUAUGUGGAUCUUCCCGGUUGUAGGGUCAAAGCAUCGGUAUCCCCUAAAAUCUGGAGGGUAUCCAAGGAAGAUGCAUCUAACGGAUCUUGGGUGUAAUUUGUGGGGUUGGGUUGCGGAGGUAUUGGGAUAACAAGCACACCUGAACACACGUAAGUGAUCGUAUGUUGGGUGGCGGAGAUAUAAGGCAAAAGUGGGUGUGAAAUAAUUGAGACGUUUGGUUGGAAGGAUGUUAUGGAGAUAGGCAGCAGUGUGAAGUGCUUCGACCCAAAACAUAGGUGGUAAUUGAGCAUGGAUGAGGAGUGAGCGGAUGAUGUCGUUGAGACGACGAAUCAUGCGUUCAGCCCGACCAUUUUGGGAAGAUGUUUGGGGGCAUGAAAAACGGAAUAACAGACCAUGUUGUUGGGCAAAAAUUUUGAAGUUAUGGUUGUCAAAUUCUCCCCCCAAGUCACAUUGAAAAGUUUUGAUAUUACGGUUGAAUUGGGUGGCUAUGAGUUUAUGGAAUUUAGUAAAGGUGGUGAAAGUUUCAGAUUUGAACUUGAGAGGGUAUACCCACACAUAAUUGGAAAAAUUAUCAAUUAGCACCAUGUAGUAUUUAUAUCCAGAUUUGGUUGGAAUAGGGGAGGUCCACAAGUCACAGUGUAUUAUAUCAAAUGGUGAAAAAGUAAAGGAAUUUGACUCAUAAAAAGGUAAUCGUUUGCUAUUAGAUAAAUGACAAGAAUUGCAAAAAAAUAAAUGCUUGUUCUUAUUACAAGGAAGACCAAACUGUUUGGUUAAAACAUCUAAAACUUGUGUGCCAGGGUGACCGAGGCGAUCGUGCCAAGGUAAAUUGGGAGAUGUGAUUGAACAAGCUUGUGGUGGUAGGGUUGGUGGAGUGACAGGAUAGAGAUCUCCGGUACUAUUGUGGUGGGAAA
rnacentral:lncRNA from 1 species